rnacentral:rRNA from 1 species
AGUCGAACGGUAACAGGAAACAGCUUGCUGCUUCGCUGACAGAGUGGCGGACGGGUGAGUAAUGUCUGGGAAACUGCCUGAUGGAGGGGGAUAACUACUGGAAACGGUAGCUAAUACCGCAUAACGUCGCAAGACCAAAGAGGGGGACCUUCGGGCCUCUUGCCAUCGGAUGUGCCCAGAUGGGAUUAGCUAGUAGGUGGGGUAACGGCUCACCUAGGCGACGAUCCCUAGC